UACGAAGGGGGCUAGCGUUGCUCGGAAUCACUGGGCGUAAAGGGUGCGUAGGCGGGUCUUUAAGUCAGGGGUGAAAUCCUGGAGCUCAACUCCAGAACUGCCUUUGAUACUGAGGAUCUUGAGUACGGGAGAGGUGAGUGGAACUGCGAGUGUAGAGGUGAAAUUCGUAGAUAUUCGCAAGAACACCAGUGGCGAGGGCGGCUUACUGGUCCGGUUCUGACGCUGAGGCGCGAAAGCGUGGGGAGCAAACAGG
rnacentral:rRNA from 1 species